rnacentral:rRNA from 1 species
AGGGUGUAAACGCUGCAGACUUGGUGUUGGAGGCCCUUUGGGGGCAUUCAGUGCCGGAGAGAAGUUGUUAAGUCUGCUACUUGGGGAGUACGUCCGCAAGGAUGAAACUUAAAGGAAUUGGCGGGGGAGCACCGCAACGGGAGGAGCGUGCGGUUUAAUUGGAUUCAACACCGUAAACUCACCAGGGAAGACUGUUACAUGAAGGCCGAGAUGAAGACUCUGCUAGAUUUUCAGAGAGGUGGUGCAUGGCGUCAGUG